rnacentral:rRNA from 1 species
UACGAAGGGGCUAGCGUUGCUCGGAAUUACUGGGCGUAAAGGGCGCGUAGGCGGUCAUUUUAGUCAGGCGUGAAAUUCCCGGGCUUAACCUGGGGACUGCGUUUGAUACUGGGUGACUUGAGGGUGGAAGAGGGUCGUGGAAUUCCCAGUGUAGAGGUGAAAUUCGUAGAUAUUGGGAAGAACACCGGUGGCGAAGGCGGCGACCUGGUCCAUUACUGACGCUGAGGCGCGACAGCGUGGGGGAGCAAACAGG